rnacentral:rRNA from 1 species
GUGAGGAAUAUUGGUCAAUGGGCGAUAGCCUGAACCAGCCAAGUCGCGUGAGGGAUGACGGGUCUAUGGCCUGUAAACCUCUUUUUUGAAGGAAGAACCGCGGGGACGUGUCCCCGCCUGCCAGUACUUCACGAAUAAGCAUCGGCUAACUCCGUGCCAGCAGCCGCGGUAACACGGGGGAUGCGAGCGUUAUCCGGAUUCAUUGGGUUUAAAGGGAGCGUAGGCGGCCCGACAAGUCAGCGGUAAAAGACUGCAGCUAAACUGUAGCGCGCCGUUGAAACUGCCGGGCUCGAGUGCAGACGAGGUUGGCGGAACAGGUGAAGUAGCGGUGAAAUGCAUAGAUAUCACCUGGAACCCCGACAGCGAAGGCAGCUGACCAGGCUGUAACUGACGCUGAUGCUCGAGAGCGUGGGUAGCGAACAGGAUUAGAAACCCUAGUAGUCC